rnacentral:rRNA from 1 species
AACGAACGCUGGCGGCAUGCCUAACACAUGCAAGUCGAACGAACCCUUCGGGGUUAGUGGCGCACGGGUGCGUAACGCGUGGGAAUCUGCCCUUGGCUUCGGAAUAACAGUUAGAAAUGACUGCUAAUACCGGAUGAUGUCUUCGGACCAAAGAUUUAUCGGCCAGGGAUGAGCCCGCGUAGGAUUAGGUAGUUGGUGGGGUAAAGGCCUACCAAGCCGACGAUCCUUAGCUGGUCUGAGAGGAUGAUCAGCCACACUGGGACUGAGACACGGCCCAGACUCCUACGGGAGGCAGCAGUGGGGAAUAUUGGACAAUGGGCGCAAGCCUGAUCCAGCAAUGCCGCGUGAGUGAUGAAGGCCUUCGGGUCGUAAAGCUCUUUUACCCGGGAUGACAAUGACAGUACCGGGAGAAUAAGCUCCGGCUAACUCCGUGCCAGCAGCCGCGGUAAAAC